GGUUUCUUAUUAUGACUCUUAAAAGCCAUGGAGCAUAUAAGCAGCACACACACAAUCCAUUCACUGUGUGAACUUUCUGGCUGAUUACACUGAAUUUCAGUUGAUUUUUCUCGGUUUGUCCUCAUGUAACUGAGCUUGCUGCAGCUUUUUCUUUUUUUUACCCACAUGACAUGCAGCUUUAAAUCCUGGACAGAAAUGUGAUCAACAUGCGAGAAACAUCUGAGCAGUUUACAGAACUGAGCACUUCCCGCUACUUUAAAUAAAGCAGCAACCACGACACGCAGAGAGAGCCACGCUCUUCGGCUUUGUAAUCACAGAGGCUGUGAACAUUUCCUGGUUCUUCUAUGAAGCCGUGCUACAGGCAGCUUGUCAGUGCAACGAGGAUGUUCUACCUGAGAUGAGCUGAAGUCGACUUUUAUCCGUUUUUUUGUCCUCACAUCCAUCCCUCUCUGCUUUACCAGCAGCAAGAUCCUUUAUUCAACAAUGAUGCUCCUCACUGUGAAGACCUAUCCAGCUUUGGUAUGGAGCGUUUGUGUGUUGUUUGCCGUGGAGUCCCUGACUGCUCCCACACCAGAAGCCGACGACAUUAACCUCACUGUUGACUCUGUGACUGAAGUUUACGUUGAGGAAGAGUUGCGGCCUACAACCCGGGCUGCGACUCCCAAACCUGCAGAAGUAGGUGUUGCUGCAGCAACAAAGAACACAGUGCAACCCGCAGUGGAAACUCCAGAAACCAACCGUUCAAGUGACAGCGCGGUUGGUUUGGUUGUCAAGAGCACUGCAGCAGCAACACCAGCAGCAGCAAGACCAGCAGCAGCAGCACCAGCAACUCCAGCAGCAGCAACAACAGCAGCAAC